GAGUUUGAACACAGGCAAGAGUUAUUCAAGUCUUGUAUUAGUUCCGCUGGACUUAACAUCCCUUCACCGUGCCUGUAGAGAUACUCCAGCCAGAGCACCACCUCAGCAGCUGCACACUUGCCUGGCCAUUCUGCUUUGCGCUCUCUCCUUCAUUGACAGAGGUCAACCCUUUCUCUGAAUGCAUUUCACUUGCAGAUGAAACACCAAACAUCUUUUCUUCCCCGUCUCCAGUGACUCCCUCAUACGCCACUGAGACAACUACUGGUAAUGAGGAAGAAGUAAAACAAAACGGGUUCCAGAUCAUCCUUUGGCCUGGCGUUGCUAUCGUGACCAGCAAGACCCUGGCAGUAGUGAUCCUAGUGUUCCUCGUGAGAAGGAGGAAGAGGAACUCCACCGUGAAGGCGCCCAGAUGACACAAGAGUCCAGCCAGCAGCCUCCCCUCCUCAGCCCCUUUGGAGCAGCAGAGGAGAGCGGCGGGCUGGAGGAGCCCACGAGCACCAUCCCCUGCCGGGAGCUGCCCUCGCAGCCAGGCUGGCCGCUGCCACCAGCUCUCCUGCACUGCCAGGUCCCAGCUGGGAGCGGCCCCGCUGCUGCAACAGCGCAGGCCCUCACCCCACAGCGCCUGCACUUCCCACAGGCAUUGGCAAACCCUCUCGGCCUCCCCACGGGCCCCUGCGCCAGGGCUCUGCGAGGGUGCCCCACAGGAAAUAAAACGUGCAAAAGGCA